CUGCUGAACCUAUGUGUAUUUUUUAGACCCAGGCUUUUUUGCGAACAUUGCAGAGAGCCUACACUUGCAAGCUUUUUUUGCGAAUAUUGCAGAGUUAUCGAGAGCCUGUAUCCAUGCGGUGCCGCUCCCAGUCCCGCCUCUUCCCAGAAAAUCCCACGGAAAAGUUUCCCCUCUUCCAUCCAAUCCAAGCUUCCGGAGGUUCCUCUCCUCUCCACCGAGUUCGAGCAGCCGCGGCAGCAGCAGCCGCGUGCCGGCGCGCGGCGGCGGCAACCAGGACAUCGACGCUAGGUCAUACACGAAGCGGAGGGCAUGCCGUUGCUGACUUACAACGGGGGCUUCGUCGUGGUCUUAGUUCCUGCUGAACGUCUGUGUUCUUGUUCUUGUUACAUACACAAAUCCCCUAAAAACAAUCCUGUCAUUAGAUCGCUGAGUUCCAUCCAAACUGGGCAAUGAUGGAAGCCAAAUAUCACAAUUCGUUAAGCAUUUGAUAUGCUGCAUUACCAUUGCCAUUUGCAUUGCAAGAUGAUAUGCCUGCCACUCAGAAUAAACCUUUUGAUACGCUUUUACACAUUCUACUCACAUGUACAUUUUGCAAUUUGAUCUGUUCAUCAACAUGGCUAUAACAACAAUCCUGUAAGGCUGCACUAGUAGUACAUAUACAAAUUCUCACACAAAUCAUGUGGUUAUUUACACACCUCAUCUUGCAGCAGCAAAGUCCUUGUGGUCUUGUGCUUAUUUAUGAUUGGGUGUUUCUCUUCUCUUACCUUUAUACAAUUAUAAGUGAUGUACCGAUUAGUGUAUUUGCAGUUCGUAGUUCAGUCUGUCCAUGCUACCUCCGCUGGAACUUUAGGUGCUUGAUGAAGAUGAAGAAGAGGAAGGCGAACAGGGCGAUGAUGGCCAGGUGCAGGCAUGUGACAAGGUUGAAGUAGCGGUUCUCGAGGCCAAGGUAGCCCUCGAGGAACUCACGCACCGUCUGGUCCGGUUGCCCCGGCACACGGAUCAGUUCUGUCCGGUCGCCCAGCUGUGAGAACAUGAGCCCGUACACUGUCCAUGCUGCUGGGUUAGCCCAGUACACCCACCUCCACCAUAUCGGGAUCAGCUGCAUCCACAUUGCCACAUUGUUGUUGUUCAUUAGGUUAGGCAUGCACACCUAUCCUCUUUUUUUAAUUAUUAUUGAUUGUUAUCUUUCAGGAAAAGUCCAAAUCUGGAUUAAAUGUGCAACAUAUGGUUGGUUUAUAUAGGAAUUAAAUGAUGCCCAAUUUGACUAUGUUCUCUCUAGUUAGCGUUCUCAUUAAAGUGAAAAGGUUAGGGGGUUAAUUGACAGAGUGAGACUAGUACCUCUCUCCCAAUGAUGAAGCCGGAGAAGACGUUCCAAAAGAUGAAGAUAAGGAAGGACAAUCCGGCAGCUAUCUCAAGGCAAGCCAUGCACUGCGCCCUAAAGUUCUGCCAAUAUCCUGGGGGAAAAUGUAGAUCCACGGUGUUUGGCGCUGGUUGCCCCAGCUCUUCAAUUAGAAGCAUGUUCUCCCUGCAGAAACAAGGGAGGAGCUCCGGUAAAUUUCUGCAUAGUCCACUCCAACCACAUAUUCUGUUAUGUGUGAACUUAUAUCCAACACCCAUGCUGCUGGGUUUUGUCCCUCUUUUAUUCUAGGAACACCAGCACGGGCAUCCAAGCCAGUGGUUGGCUCGUCCAUGAAUAUAAUGGAAGGACUAGCUACCAGCUCCACUGCUAUUGUUAGCCUUUUUCGCUGCUCAGCUGACAGGCCAGUUGCUCCUGCUAUUCCCACCAUGGCAUUCUUCAGUCCAGUCAAUUCAACUAGGUCCAUUACUUCAUCUAUAAACAUCUGAAACAUGUUUGUAGGGAAAUCUUGUUAGAUCUAUUGUUAUAUAUUAGCUUCAAAGAUGAUAAAGAUUGCAAAAGGUCAAUGCUUAUACAUCUCUUUGGCGAGAGUUAACGUUCGAAGGAAGUCGAAGCCAUGCUGAGAACUGUAGUGACUCAUGCACAGUGAGGUUAGGGGAGUGAAUGUCACUCUGUUCACAGUAGCCCGAGAUCCUUGAGAAUGUGUCCUGCUUCUUUGGGUAUCCUGCUAUCCUAAUAGUACCUUCAAUAUAUCCUCCAGUUUUUCUUCCAGCCAAAACGUCGAGCAAUGUUGUCUUUCCAGCACCAGUGAUCCCCAUCAGAGCUGUUAACACCCCUGGCCUGAAAACACCGCUGACAUCUUGCAGCAGUUGAAGCUUUUUCUCUGUUACUCCAUACUUAAUCAUUUCCUGGUGGAAGAUAUGCAUACGUUUGGUCAAACGUGACUGGAAAUGAAAUGGAUGCAAGUAUUCAGUAAGGCACUAUGUGCUCAAGAUGUUACCUUAGGCAUGUCAACAAAAUAGUUGAUAUGAUCAAAUACAAGGGAAAGAGGCUGAAACGGGAGGGCAACUUGACCAGUUGAUGCAUUGCGAGUUCCAACUUUUUGUUUCUUACACUCCGUUUUUGUCUUCGUGGAAUCGAUAUUAACUUGAUGCUUGUGUGGAGCUACAAAUUAUGAACAAAUAUGAUGAUUUUGUUUGCAUUUAUGUUUCAAUACUUAUGAGGAUUUUGAUAGCUUUGGUAUACAUACAGUUCAUGAACUCUAGUGCAAAUAUAGUGAGGAUGUUGAGGACCAGCGAGAAUCCAAAUAAAAUGCCGACACAAAUCCAGUACCAAUGCCACUCUGUGAGCAACCCCCUGAUCUUGAGGAUAGCUUCACCAACUGUUUUAGCAUUUGCAUAGUAAAAUUCCUGUCAGCAUGAAAAAUCAUCAUCAGGUCAUAACUAAUUGCACGGGUUAUGUACAUUGGAUCAAGAAUGUUAGUUGAAACAAUUGCUUACAAUAGCCCAUCUUUCAUCAAGGAACUCAUUUAGGGCAACAGCAUUCUGUGCAUAGGUGAAUGGGGAUGUCCAGUAUCCCCACUGCAACCAUGGUUGGAGGUUAUCUGUUUCAAUGUACAAAACUGUUAAGCAUCUUCGUUGCACAAGUACUCAUACAUCUUACGUUAUUCUGAGCUAAAACAUCUAACCUUUUGAUAUGACAAAGCCUCCAAAUAUGUAGAUUGCUAUGAGAGCUGCAGUGCCUAGCAUGUUGGCCAUUACUUGCGUCCUUCCUAUUGCCGCUAAGAAACGAUAGAGGCCCAUUGACAUUUGAUGCAUGGCAAAAAGUACCAAAAACUGCUGGAUGAAUCUGCAAGAAGCAAGAGAUCGUCUUUCGCAGGUUGUGGGAGAUAGGAUGAACGAAAAGAUUCUGCAAAUUUUUCGAUUGACCGGUAAUCGUGGAUUACUUUGGCUGUGUUAGGGGCGUUCUCAGGCUCGCUCUACUGUGUAGGAAAUGCUGGCGCGUGCUGUUCAUCUCAUGAGAAAUCAACUAGCAAGAGACGUAUGGGACCAGCGUUUGAUCUGCUUCUUCCUUUUUUCUUUCCUCGUCAUGGCAAAGGAACAAGACUGCAUUAAAGCCGUUGCCGUAGCUGCUGUCGUCUUCUACACCGAAUGCUACCUCAGGAAUGGCCACGCUACGCUCAUGAAAAUUGUAAAGACCAGGUACCAAAAUGGAAAAUUCCCCAGGCUAGAUCUGUGCUGUGAUGGUUGUGCUGUCCAGAAGACCCUGCCUACAGUCCAACGAUAUACUACUCCCUCAUAAUGUAAGAUAUUUUUUGACACUAUGAUACGGUACCAAUGACGGAGCUGACGAAGGAUCUCAGGGGGGCAAAUAGAAAAUAUGCAACUUUGAGGGGGCCAAAUGAGUGCACUCUACUAAAUUUAAGCCUUCACGAGAAAUUUCCUUCACUAAUUAGCAAUGGCCGGGGGGCAGCGGCACCCCAAGUAAUACAUGUAGCUCCCCUGUAUGUAUGGGACGGAGGGAGUAGCUCUGUUUAUGGUAGGCUUAGUUGGGGCCAACCUAUUUGUACCAACAUUUCUUUUAGCAACUAUAGUAUCUGUGUAAACAUAUGACCAUGUUUUUUUUUUCUUGAUGGACAUAACGCCAUGUUUAGUGUAUAUAUCAGUGUAUUACAACAAACUGAA